UGGGGGAUAUUGCACAAUGGGCGAAAGCCUGAUGCAGCGACGCCGCGUGGGGGAUGAAGGCCUUCGGGUUGUAAACUUCUUUUGCUCUGAACAAGGCAUGCCUUUGGGGUGUGUUGAGUGUAGGGGUUGAUUAGCGCCGGCUAACUACGUGCCAGCAGCCGCGGUAAUACGUAGGGCGCGAGCGUUGUCCGGAAUUAUUGGGCGUAAAGGGCUUGUAGGUGGCUGGUUGCGUCUGCCGUGAAAGCUCAUGGCUUAACUGUGGGUUUGCGGUGGGUACGGGCUGGCUUGAGUGCAGUAGGGGAGGCUGGAAUUCCUGGUGUAGCGGUGGAAUGCGCAGAUAUCAGGAGGAAUACCGGUGGCGAAGGCGGGUCUCUGGGCUGUUACUGACGCUGAGGAGCGAAAGCGUGGGGAGCGAACAGGA
rnacentral:rRNA from 1 species